GCGUCCAUGGCCACCGCUGCGACUGAGGAGCCCUUCCCUUUUCACGGCCUCCUGCCGAAGAAGGAGACCGGAGCCGCCUCCUUCCUCUGCCGCUACCCCGAGUAUGACGGGCGGGGGGUGCUCAUCGCCGUCCUGGACACUGGGGUCGACCCGGGGGCUCCGGGCAUGCAGGUUACAACUGAUGGAAAACCAAAAAUCGUUGAUAUCAUUGAUACAACAGGAAGUGGCGAUGUAAAUACUGCUACAGAAGUAGAGCCAAAAGAUGGUGAAAUUGUUGGCCUUUCAGGAAGAGUGCUUAAGGUUGAAAUACAAUGGCACAAUCUCGGCUCACCUCAACCUCUGCUUCCUGUAUUCAAGUGAUUCUUCUGCCUCAGCCUCCCGAGUAGCUGGGAUUACAGGCAUGCGCCACAACACUUGGCUAAUUUUUUUUUGUAUUUUUAGUAGAGAUGGAAUUUUGCCAUGUUGGCCAGGCUGGUCUCAAACUCCUGACCUCAAGUGAUCCACCCGCCUCGACCUCCCAAAGUGCUGGUAUUAUAGGCAUGAGCCACCAUCCCUGGCCUCAUUUAUUUUUAAAUAGCUGCAGUAAUCCCAGCUUUAGAUAAACUACAUGAACUAAUAAUAUCACUAGUGUUCAAAGGUAGAAUUAUAUAUGUACCAUAUAUAUUGCUAUUAAAUAAAGUCAAAAAAAGUA
rnacentral:sRNA from 1 species